GACGAACGCUGGCGGCGUGCUUAACACAUGCAAGUCGAGCGGUAAGGCCCUUUCGGGGGUACACGAGCGGCGAACGGGUGAGUAACACGUGGGUGACCUGCCCUUAGCUCUGGGAUAAGCCUGGGAAACUGGGUCUAAUACCGGAUAUGACCUCAUGACUCAUGUUGUGGGGUGGAAAGCCUUGUGCGGCUAGGGAUGGGCCCGCGGCCUAUCAGCUUGUUGGUGGGGUAAUUGCCUACCAAGGCGACGACGGGUAGCCGGCCUGAGAGGGCGACCGGCCACACUGGGACUGAGACACGGCCCAGACUCCUACGGGAGGCAGCAGUGGGGAAUCUUGCGCAAUGGGCGAAAGCCUGACGCAGCGACGCCGCGUGAGGGAUGACGGCCUGG
rnacentral:rRNA from 1 species